UUCCUGAUGGAUUCUUCUUUUGUUAUUAGGGCCCGAGCCAGCUGCAGAGCAGCCGGGCGUAGAGCCCUAUUAUUCCUGUAUAGGUUUUUCUUUCUUCUUUCUUUCUUUCUUUCUUCUUAUUUUUCCUCCCCUUUGAAGGGGAAAAUGGCCCACUUCCCACUGGCGAAAACUCAGGAAAUUUGGCAGGACGACCGGGCCUGGUGAAAAAUUCGAUAUUCUGAAGUCGCCCAAACAAUAAAAUGCAAAAUGGCUCCAUAGCGCCCCCUAAGGUGAAAAUUCACACUAUUGACUGUCACGCCUGUACGCUUUGUCAUAUUGACACAAAAAUUGACACACACAUGUAUCUCAAUAAGAUCUACAAAAAAGUCAGUGCGGGCGUAUCUGUCAAAUGUACGGUUAAAGGGUUAUUUCGCAUUUUUUGCAGAUCCGCACACAUUGGAAUUUCGCUAACUCCUCCGAAGGCUUUCGUUCCACCGGCACCACAUUUGCUCAGGCCAAUCUACACUCCAUGGCCAUUCAAAGUUGUACAAAUCAUGAUGCUGCACUCCAUGGUUUAGGUUCUAGGGGGCGCCAAAAAUAACCCAAAAAUCCACAUUCUUAAAAGUUUUAUAACUUUUUUUUUUUGUCCUCACUGGCCUCCAAGUUUUCUAGGAUGAUGCAAUGUCCAGCCAUCAACACAUUUGUAAAGGAAUUUUUACUCCCCAAAAGAGCGCCCCCCCAUGGCAGGACAAAAGAUCAAUUUUUUCUUGUCCCCUAAGGUGAAAAUACACAUUGUUGAGAUUCACGCCUGUAUGCUUUGUCAAAAUGACACAAAAUUUGACACACACGUGUAUCUCAAUAAGAUCUACGAAAAAGUCAAUGCGCGCGUAUCUGUAAAAUGUACGGCUAAACGGCUAUUUUGCAUUUUUUGCCGAUUCGCACACAUUGGAAUGUGGCUAACUCCUCCUAAGGCUUCCGUCCCACUGACACCAAAUUUGCUCAGGCCAAUCUACACCCCAUGGCCAGUCAAAGUUGUAAAAAUCAUGCCGCUGCACCCCAUGGUUUACGUUCUAGGGGGCGCCAAAGAUGACCCAAAUAUCCACAUUCUUAAAAGUCGUUUUGGCCACUGCAGGAGUACAGAGUACUGCAGGAUACACACACACAGACACACACACACACAGACACACACACACACACACGCACACACACACACACACACACACAUACACACUCAGAGUCUGUUUUUUAGCACCUGCAAAAACAUGCUAUUUACAUAUUUGACAACAAUGCAGAGACUUCCUUUUGCCCCUGAAAAAAAUGAAAUUUCAAACACAACUUGACUGCUCAUUUCUCCAAAAGACAUCCAUGAAGCUCCAUCCAAACCUGAAGCAGGCAGUUGGUGCAUGUGUACAGUAACCUGAGGGGAGUGAGGUGACUGCUUCUGAGGAGAACAUGAGCAGUGAAGAUUCACCUUGGAGCUAGAACAGGGACGUGCACAUGAUUAUACAGGGGCAGGGGCUCAAGUUUUUUCCAGUCGUUUAGACAAUAUGGAAAUUAAUGUGAAAUUAAAAAACAAAGUAUUAAUAGAAAGGUAAUGACUGUCCUGUGUAGGUGACAGUGAUAUCCAAUAGGCUAGGCACUCACGAGGCUGGCUGUGGCAAGUGCAAGUGAAAGCCACACGCACUGGCAGGAAGAACGCCGAUGAAGGAAAAGGGUCUUCGCAGUGAUGGGCGUUACCAGAGAGGGCGAUGGCCAGAGGACGCGAAUGGGACGGGGAGGCAGCGCGUUGGGGGGGGGGGCGCGACACAGCUCGGGCCCGCCAGUGCCCCAACGGGGCCCUAGUUUGUUAUUAGGGCCCGAGCGUAGCUGCUAAGCAGCUGCGAGAGCCCUCUUGUUCCUGAUGGAUUCUUCUUUCGUUAUUAGGGCCCGAGCGUAGCUGCUAAGCAGCUGCGAGAGCCCUAUUAUUCCCCAAGUGGUUUUUCUUUGUUUCUUUUUAGGGCCCGAGCGUAGCUGCUAAGCAGCUGCGAGAGCCCUCUUGUUCCUGAUGGAUUCUUCUUUUGUUAUUAUUAGGGCCCGAGCGUAGCUGCUCAGCAGCUGCGAGAGCCCUCUUGUUCCUGAUGGAUUCUUCUUUCGUUAUUUUUCCUCCGCUUUAAACUGGAAAAUGGCCCACUUCCCACUGACGAAAACUCAGGAAAUUUGGCAGGACGACCGGGCCUGGUGAAAAAUUUGAUAUUCUGAAGUCGCCCAAACAAAAAAAUGAAAAAUGGCUCCAUAGCGCCCCCUAUGGUGAAAACUCACCUGACACCUGUACGCUUUGUCAAAAUGACACAAAAUUUGACACACAUGUGUAUCUCAAUAAGAUCUAUGAAAAAGUCAACGGGCACGUAAGUGUAAAAUGUACUGUUAAAGGGCUAUUUUGCAUUUUUUGCCGAUUCGCACACAUUGGAAUUUUGCUAACUCCUCCUAAGGCUUUCGUUCCACCGGCACCACAUUUGCACAGGCCAAUCUACACCCCAUGGCCAUUAAAAGUUGUACAAAUCAUGACGCUGCACCCCACGGUUUAGGUUCUAGGGGGCGCCAAAGAUAACCCAAAAAUCCACAUUCUUAAAAGUCUUAUAACUUUUUAAUUUUGUCCUCACUGGCCUCCAAGUUUUAUAGGAUGAUGCAAUGUCCAGCCAUCAACACAUUUGUGAAGGAAUUUUUACUCCCCAAAAGAGCGCCCCCAUGGCAGGAGAAAAAAGGCAAUUUUUUCUUGUCCCCUAAGGUGAAAAUACACAUUGUUGAGUGUCACACCUAUACGCUUUGUCAUAUUGACACAAAAUUUGACAAUCACGUGUAUCUCAAUCAGAUCUACGAAAAACUCAAUAGGCACGUAUCUGUAAAAUGUACGGUUAAAGGGCUAUUCCGCAUUUUUUGCCGAUCCGCACACAUUGGAAUGUGGCUAACUCCUCCUAAGGCUUCCGUCCCACUGACACCAAAUUUGCUCAGGCCAAUCUACACCCCAUGGCCAGUCAAAGUUGUAAAAAUCAUGCCGCUGCACCCCAUGGUUUACGUUCUAGGGGGCGCCAAAGAUGACCCAAAUAUCCACAUUCUUAAAAGUCGUUUUGGCCACUGCAGGAGUACAGAGUACUGCAGGAUACACACACACAGACACACACACACACAGACACACACACACACACACGCACACACACACACACACACACACAUACACACUCAGAGUCUGUUUUUUAGCACCUGCAAAAACAUGCUAUUUACAUAUUUGACAACAAUGCAGAGACUUCCUUUUGCCCCUGAAAAAAAUGAAAUUUCAAACACAACUUGACUGCUCAUUUCUCCAAAAGACAUCCAUGAAGCUCCAUCCAAACCUGAAGCAGGCAGUUGGUGCAUGUGUACAGUAACCUGAGGGGAGUGAGGUGACUGCUUCUGAGGAGAACAUGAGCAGUGAAGAUUCACCUUGGAGCUAGAACAGGGACGUGCACAUGAUUAUACAGGGGCAGGGGCUCAAGUUUUUUCCAGUCGUUUAGACAAUAUGGAAAUUAAUGUGAAAUUAAAAAACAAAGUAUUAAUAGAAAGGUAAUGACUGUCCUGUGUAGGUGACAGUGAUAUCCAAUAGGCUAGGCACUCACGAGGCUGGCUGUGGCAAGUGCAAGUGAAAGCCACACGCACUGGCAGGAAGAACGCCGAUGAAGGAAAAGGGUCUUCGCAGUGAUGGGCGUUACCAGAGAGGGCGAUGGCCAGAGGACGCGAAUGGGACGGGGAGGCAGCGCGUUGGGGGGGGGGGGGGGGCGACACAGCUCGGGCCCGCCAGUGCCCCAACGGGGCCCUAGUUUGUUAUUAGGGCCCGAGCGUAGCUGCUAAGCAGCUGCGAGAGCCCUCUUGUUCCUGAUGGAUUCUUCUUUCGUUAUUAGGGCCCGAGCGUAGCUGCUAAGCAGCUGCGAGAGCCCUAUUAUUCCCCAAGUGGUUUUUCUUUGUUUCUUUUUAGGGCCCGAGCGUAGCUGCUAAGCAGCUGCGAGAGCCCUCUUGUUCCUGAUGGAUUCUUCUUUUGUUAUUAUUAGGGCCCGAGCGUAGCUGCUCAGCAGCUGCGAGAGCCCUCUUGUUCCUGAUGGAUUCUUCUUUCGUUAUUUUUCCUCCGCUUUAAACUGGAAAAUGGCCCACUUCCCACUGACGAAAACUCAGGAAAUUUGGCAGGACGACCGGGCCUGGUGAAAAAUUUGAUAUUCUGAAGUCGCCCAAACAAAAAAAUGAAAAAUGGCUCCAUAGCGCCCCCUAUGGUGAAAACUCACCUGACACCUGUACGCUUUGUCAAAAUGACACAAAAUUUGACACACAUGUGUAUCUCAAUAAGAUCUAUGAAAAAGUCAACGGGCACGUAAGUGUAAAAUGUACUGUUAAAGGGCUAUUUUGCAUUUUUUGCCGAUUCGCACACAUUGGAAUUUUGCUAACUCCUCCUAAGGCUUUCGUUCCACCGGCACCACAUUUGCACAGGCCAAUCUACACCCCAUGGCCAUUAAAAGUUGUACAAAUCAUGACGCUGCACCCCACGGUUUAGGUUCUAGGGGGCGCCAAAGAUAACCCAAAAAUCCACAUUCUUAAAAGUCUUAUAACUUUUUAAUUUUGUCCUCACUGGCCUCCAAGUUUUAUAGGAUGAUGCAAUGUCCAGCCAUCAACACAUUUGUGAAGGAAUUUUUACUCCCCAAAAGAGCGCCCCCAUGGCAGGAGAAAAAAGGCAAUUUUUUCUUGUCCCCUAAGGUGAAAAUACACAUUGUUGAGUGUCACACCUAUACGCUUUGUCAUAUUGACACAAAAUUUGACAAUCACGUGUAUCUCAAUCAGAUCUACGAAAAACUCAAUAGGCACGUAUCUGUAAAAUGUACGGUUAAAGGGCUAUUCCGCAUUUUUUGCCGAUCCGCACACAUUGGAAUGUGGCUAACUCCUCCUAGGGCUUUCGUCCCAUUGGCACCAAAUUUGCUCAGGCAAAUCUACACCCCAUGGCCAUUCAAAGUUGUAAAAAUCAUGACGCUGCACCCCACGGUCUACGUUCUAGGGGGCGCCAAAGAUAACCCAAAAAUCCACAUUCUUAAAAGUCUAAUAACCUUUUAUUUUUGUCCUCACUGGCCUCCAAGUUUUCUAGGAUGAUGCAAUGUCCAGCCAUCAACACAUUUGUGAAGGAAUUUUUUCUCCCCAAAAGAGCGCCCCCCCAUGGCAGGAGAAAAAGUCAAGUUUUUCCUGCCCAUCGCUCAAUGGCUCAAACGCAUCGCUCUCCCGGCAAAACCGAAAGGAGGAGCAACUUGCCAUUUGGAUAUAUACUAGCUGUGUUUGUGCCCUCACUCAUGGUCCAGACUAUUUUCAAAAAGGACAUGGAGUUUGUCUGCAGCGAGUGUUUUGGUAGAAACUGCGCCUCCCAUUCAUUAUAAUUGUAAAUGACCACAGACAAGUGCGCACACCAUCUUUGGACCUUGAGUGUGACGCAAUCGGGAGGGGGAGGCGGUCACGCUGGGGGCGGCGCGACACGGCUCGGGCCCGCCAGUGCCCCACCGGGGCCCUAGUUAUUAUUUUUCCUCCGCUUUAAACUGGAAAAUGGCCCACUUCCCACUGGCGAAAACUCAGGAAAUUUGGCAGGACGACCGGGCCUGGUGAAAAAUUCGAUAUUCUGAAGUCGCCCAAACAAUAAAAUGCAAAAUGGCUCCAUAGCGCCCCCUAAGGUGAAAAUUCACACUAUUGACUGUCACGCCUGUACGCUUUGUCAUAUUGACACAAAAAUUGACACACACAUGUAUCUCAAUACGAUCUACAAAAAAGUCAGUGCGGGCGUAUCUGUCAAAUGUACGGUUAAAGGGUUAUUUCGCAUUUUUUGCAGAUCCGCACACAUUGGAAUUUCGCUAACUCCUCCGAAGGCUUUCGUUCCACCGGCACCACAUUUGCUCAGGCCAAUCUACACUCCAUGGCCAUUCAAAGUUGUACAAAUCAUGAUGCUGCACCCCAUGGUUUAGGUUCUAGGGGGCGCCAAAAAUAACCCAAAAAUCCACAUUUUUAAAAGUUUUAUAACUUUUUUUUUUUGUCCUCACUGGCCUCCAAGUUUUCUAGGAUGAUGCAAUGUCCAGCCAUCAACACAUUUGUGAAGGAAUUUUUACUCCCCAAAAGAGCGCCCCCCCAUGGCAGGACAAAAAAGUCCAUUUUUUCUUGUCCACUAAGGUGAAAAUUCACACUAUUGACUGUCACGCCUGUACGCUUUGUCAUAUUGACACAAAAAUUGACACACACAUGUAUCUCAAUAAGAUCUACAAAAAAGUCAGUGCGGGCGUAUCUGUCAAAUGUACGGUUAAAGGGUUAUUUCGCAUUUUUUGCAGAUCCGCACACAUUGGAAUUUCGCUAACUCCUCCGAAGGCUUUCGUUCCACCGGCACCACAUUUGCUCAGGCCAAUCUACACUCCAUGGCCAUUCAAAGUUGUACAAAUCAUGAUGCUGCACCCCAUGGUUUAGGUUCUAGGGGGCGCCAAAAAUAACCCAAAAAUCCACAUUUUUAAAAGUUUUAUAACUUUUUUUUUUUGUCCUCACUGGCCUCCAAGUUUUCUAGGAUGAUGCAAUGUCCAGCCAUCAACACAUUUGUGAAGGAAUUUUUACUCCCCAAAAGAGCGCCCCCCCAUGGCAGGACAAAAAAGUCCAUUUUUUCUUGUCCACUAAGGUGAAAAUUCACACUAUUGACUGUCACGCCUGUACGCUUUGUCAUAUUGACACAAAAAUUGACACACACAUGUAUCUCAAUAAGAUCUACAAAAAAGUCAGUGCGGGCGUAUCUGUCAAAUGUACGGUUAAAGGGUUAUUUCGCAUUUUUUGCAGAUCCCCACACAUUGGAAUUUCGCUAACUCCUCCGAAGGCUUUCGUUCCACCGGCACCACAUUUGCACAGGCCAAUCUACACUCCAUGGCCAUUCAAAGUUGUACAAAUCAUGAUGCUGCACCCCAUGGUUUAGGUUCUAGGGGGCGCCAAAAAUAACCCAAAAAUCCACAUUCUUAAAAGUUUUAUAACUUUUUAUUUUUGUCCUCACUGGCCUCCAAAUUUUCUAGGAUGAUGCAAUGUCCAGCCAUCAACACAUUUGUGAAGGAAUUUUUACUCCCCAAAAGAGCGCCCCCCCAUGGCAGGACAAAAAAGUCCAUUUUUUCUUGUCCCCUAAGGUGAAAAUACACAUUGUUGAGAUUCACGCCUGUACGCUUUGUCAUAUUGACAAAAAAAUUUGACACACACGUGUAUCUCAAUAAGAUCUACGAAAAAGUCAAUGCGCGCGUAUCUGUAAAAUGUACGGCUAAAGGGCUAUUUUGCUUUUUUUGCCCAUUCGCACACAUUGGAAUGUGGCUAACUCCUCCUAAGGCUUUCGUCCCACUGACACCAAAUUUGCUCAGGCCAAUCUACACCCCAUGGCCAUUAAAAGUCGUAAAAAUCAUGCCGCUGCACUCCAUGGUUCACGUUCAAGGGGGCGCCAAAGAGGACCCAAAUAUCCACAUUUUCAAAAGUCUUAUAACUUUUUGUUUUUGUCCUCACUGGCCUCCAAGUUUUCUAGGAUAAUGCAAUGUUCAGCCAUCAACACAUUUGUUAAAGAAUUUUUUCUCCCCAAAAGAGCGCCCCCCCAUGGCAGGAGAAAAAGUUAAGUUUUUCCUGCCCAAUGCCCAAUGGCUCAAACGCAUCGCUCUCUCGGCAAAACCGAAAGGAGGAGCAACUUGCCAUUUGGAUAUAUCGAAGCUGUGUUUGUGCCCUCACUCAUGGUCCAGACUUUUUUCAAAAAGGACAUGGAGUUUGUCUGCAGCGAGCAUUUUGGUAGAAACUGCGCCUCGCAUUCAUUAUAAUGGUAAAUGACCACAGACAAGUGCGCACACCAUCUUUGGACCUUGAGUGUGACGCGAUCGGGAGGGGGAGGGGGUCGCGCUGGGGGCGGCGCGACACGGCUCGGGCCCGCCAGUGCCCCACCGGGGCCCUAGUUAGGGCCCGAGCGUAGCUGCUCAGCAGCUGCGAGAGCCCUCUUGUUCCUGAUGGAUUCUUCUUUCGUUAUUUUUCCUCCGCUUUAAACUGGAAAAUGGCCCACUUCCCACUGACGAAAACUCAGGAAAUUUGGCAGGACGACCGGGCCUGGUGAAAAAUUUGAUAUUCUGAAGUCGCCCAAACAAAAAAAUGAAAAAUGGCUCCAUAGCGCCCCCUAUGGUGAAAACUCACCUGACACCUGUACGCUUUGUCAAAAUGACACAAAAUUUGACACACAUGUGUAUCUCAAUAAGAUCUAUGAAAAAGUCAACGGGCACGUAAGUGUAAAAUGUACUGUUAAAGGGCUAUUUUGUAUUUUUUGCCGAUUCGCACACAUUGGAAUUUUGCUAACUCCUCCUAAGGCUUUCGUUCCACCGGCACCACAUUUGCACAGGCCAAUCUACACCCCAUGGCCAUUAAAAGUUGUACAAAUCAUGACGCUGCACCCCACGGUUUAGGUUCUAGGGGGCGCCAAAGAUAACCCAAAAAUCCACAUUCUUAAAAGUCUUAUAACUUUUUAAUUUUGUCCUCACUGGCCUCCAAGUUUUAUAGGAUGAUGCAAUGUCCAGCCAUCAACACAUUUGUGAAGGAAUUUUUACUCCCCAAAAGAGCGCCCCCAUGGCAGGAGAAAAAAGGCAAUUUUUUCUUGUCCCCUAAGGUGAAAAUACACAUUGUUGAGUGUCACACCUAUACGCUUUGUCAUAUUGACACAAAAUUUGACAAUCACGUGUAUCUCAAUCAGAUCUACGAAAAACUCAAUAGGCACGUAUCUGUAAAAUGUACGGUUAAAGGGCUAUUCCGCAUUUUUUGCCGAUCCGCACACAUUGGAAUGUGGCUAACUCCUCCUAGGGCUUUCGUCCCAUUGGCACCAAAUUUGCUCAGGCAAAUCUACACCCCAUGGCCAUUCAAAGUUGUAAAAAUCAUGACGCUGCACCCCACGGUCUACGUUCUAGGGGGCGCCAAAGAUAACCCAAAAAUCCACAUUCUUAAAAGUCUAAUAACCUUUUAUUUUUGUCCUCACUGGCCUCCAAGUUUUCUAGGAUGAUGCAAUGUCCAGCCAUCAACACAUUUGUGAAGGAAUUUUUUCUCCCCAAAAGAGCGCCCCCCAUGGCAGGAGAAAAAGUCAAGUUUUUCCUGCCCAUCGCUCAAUGGCUCAAACGCAUCGCUCUCCCGGCAAAACCGAAAGGAGGAGCAACUUGCCAUUUGGAUAUAUACUAGCUGUGUUUGUGCCCUCACUCAUGGUCCAGACUAUUUUCAAAAAGGACAUGGAGUUUGUCUGCAGCGAGUGUUUUGGUAGAAACUGCGCCUCCCAUUCAUUAUAAUUGUAAAUGACCACAGACAAGUGCGCACACCAUCUUUGGACCUUGAGUGUGACGCAAUCGGGAGGGGGAGGCGGUCACGCUGGGGGCGGCGCGACACGGCUCGGGCCCGCCAGUGCCCCACCGGGGCCCUAGUUAUUAUUUUUCCUCCGCUUUAAACUGGAAAAUGGCCCACUUCCCACUGGCGAAAACUCAGGAAAUUUGGCAGGACGACCGGGCCUGGUGAAAAAUUCGAUAUUCUGAAGUCGCCCAAACAAUAAAAUGCAAAAUGGCUCCAUAGCGCCCCCUAAGGUGAAAAUUCACACUAUUGACUGUCACGCCUGUACGCUUUGUCAUAUUGACACAAAAAUUGACACACACAUGUAUCUCAAUACGAUCUACAAAAAAGUCAGUGCGGGCGUAUCUGUCAAAUGUACGGUUAAAGGGUUAUUUUGCAUUUUUUGCAGAUCCGCACACAUUGGAAUUUCGCUAACUCCUCCGAAGGCUUUCGUUCCACCGGCACCACAUUUGCUCAGGCCAAUCUACACUCCAUGGCCAUUCAAAGUUGUACAAAUCAUGAUGCUGCACCCCAUGGUUUAGGUUCUAGGGGGCGCCAAAAAUAACCCAAAAAUCCACAUUUUUAAAAGUUUUAUAACUUUUUUUUUUUGUCCUCACUGGCCUCCAAGUUUUCUAGGAUGAUGCAAUGUCCAGCCAUCAACACAUUUGUGAAGGAAUUUUUACUCCCCAAAAGAGCGCCCCCCCAUGGCAGGACAAAAAAGUCCAUUUUUUCUUGUCCACUAAGGUGAAAAUUCACACUAUUGACUGUCACGCCUGUACGCUUUGUCAUAUUGACACAAAAAUUGACACACACAUGUAUCUCAAUAAGAUCUACAAAAAAGUCAGUGCGGGCGUAUCUGUCAAAUGUACGGUUAAAGGGUUAUUUUGCAUUUUUUGCAGAUCUGCACACAUUGGAAUUUCGCUAACUCCUCCGAAGGCUUUCGUUCCACUGGCACCACAUUUGCUCAGGCCAAUCUACACUCCAUGGCCAUUCAAAGUUGUACAAAUCAUGAUGCUGCACCCCAUGGUUUAGGUUCUAGGGGGCGCCAAAAAUAACCCAAAAAUCCACAUUUUUAAAAGUUUUAUAACUUUUUUUUUUUGUCCUCACUGGCCUCCAAGUUUUCUAGGAUGAUGCAAUGUCCAGCCAUCAACACAUUUGUGAAGGAAUUUUUACUCCCCAAAAGAGCGCCCCCCCAUGGCAGGACAAAAAAGUCCAUUUUUUCUUGUCCACUAAGGUGAAAAUUCACACUAUUGACUGUCACGCCUGUACGCUUUGUCAUAUUGACACAAAAAUUGACACACACAUGUAUCUCAAUAAGAUCUACAAAAAAGUCAGUGCGGGCGUAUCUGUCAAAUGUACGGUUAAAGGGUUAUUUUGCAUUUUUUUCAGAUCCGCACACAUUGGAAUUUCGCUAACUCCUCCGAAGGCUUUCGUUCCACCGGCACCACAUUUGCUCAGGCCAAUCUACACUCCAUGGCCAUUCAAAGUUGUACAAAUCAUGAUGCUGCACCCCAUGGUUUAGGUUCUAGGGGGCGCCAAAAAUAACCCAAAAAUCCACAUUCUUAAAAGUUUUAUAACUUUUUAUUUUUGUCCUCACUGGCCUCCAAAUUUUCUAGGAUGAUGCAAUGUCCAGCCAUCAACACAUUUGUGAAGGAAUUUUUACUCCCCAAAAGAGCGCCCCCCCAUGGCAGGACAAAAAAGUCCAUUUUUUCUUGUCCCCUAAGGUGAAAAUACACAUUGUUGAGAUUCACGCCUGUACGCUUUGUCAUAUUGACAAAAAAAUUUGACACACACGUGUAUCUCAAUAAGAUCUACGAAAAAGUCAAUGCGCGCGUAUCUGUAAAAUGUACGGCUAAAGGGCUAUUUUGCUUUUUUUGCCCAUUCGCACACAUUGGAAUGUGGCUAACUCCUCCUAAGGCUUUCGUCCCACUGACACCAAAUUUGCUCAGGCCAAUCUACACCCCAUGGCCAUUAAAAGUCGUAAAAAUCAUGCCGCUGCACUCCACGGUUCACGUUCAAGGGGGCGCCAAAGAGGACCCAAAUAUCCACAUUUUCAAAAGUCUUAUAACUUUUUGUUUUUGUCCUCACUGGCCUCCAAGUUUUCUAGGAUAAUGCAAUGUUCAGCCAUCAACACAUUUGUUAAAGAAUUUUUUCUCCCCAAAAGAGCGCCCCCCCAUGGCAGGAGAAAAAGUUAAGUUUUUCCUGCCCAAUGCCCAAUGGCUCAAACGCAUCGCUCUCUCGGCAAAACCGAAAGGAGGAGCAACUUGCCAUUUGGAUAUAUCGAAGCUGUGUUUGUGCCCUCACUCAUGGUCCAGACUUUUUUCAAAAAGGACAUGGAGUUUGUCUGCAGCGAGCAUUUUGGUAGAAACUGCGCCUCGCAUUCAUUAUAAUGGUAAAUGACCACAGACAAGUGCGCACACCAUCUUUGGACCUUGAGUGUGACGCGAUCGGGAGGGGGAGGGGGUCGCGCUGGGGGCGGCGCAACACGGCUCGGGCCAGUGGCCCACCGGGGCCCUAGUUAGGGCCCGAGCGUAGCUGCUAAGCAGCUGCGAGAGCCCUCUUGUUCCUGCAUGUUUCCUUCUUUCGUUAUUAUUUUUCCUCCGCUUUAAACUGGAAAAUGGCCCACUUCCCACUGGCGAAAACUCAGGAAAUUUGGCAGGACGACCGGGCCUGGUGAAAAAUUCGAUAUUCUGAAGUCGCCCAAACAAUAAAAUGCAAAAUGGCUCCAUAGCGCCCCCUAAGGUGAAAAUUCACAUGACGGCUGUACGCUUUGUCAUAUUGACACAAAAAUUGACACACACAUGUAUCUCAAUAAGAUCUACAAAAAAGUCAGUGCGGGCGUAUCUGUCAAAUGUACGGUUAAUGGGUUAUUUUGCAUUUUUUGCAGAUCUGCACACAUUGGAAUUUCGCUAACUCCUCCGAAGGCUUUCGUUCGACCGGCACCACAUUUGCGCAGGCCAAUCUACACCCCAUGGCCAUUAAAAGUUGUACAAAUCAUGACGCUGCACCCCACGGUUUACGUUCUAGGGGGCGCCAAAGAUAACCCAAAAUCCACAUUCUUAAAAGUCUUAUAACUUUUUAUUUUUGUCCUCACUGCCCUCCAAGUUUUCUAGGAUGAUGCAAUGUCCAGCCAUCAACACAUUUGUGAAGGAAUUUUUACUCCCCAAAAGAGCGCCCCCCCAUGGCAGGAGAAAAAAGUCAAUUUUUUCUUGUCCCCUUACAUGAAAAUACACAUUGUUGAGUGUCACGCCUGAACGCUUUGUCAUAUUGACACAAAAAUUGACAAUCAUGUGUAUCUCAAUUAGAUCUACGAAAAAGUCAAAAAGCGCGUAUCUGUAUAAUGUACGGUUAAAGGGCUAUUUCGCAUUUUAUGCCGAUUCGCACACAUUGGAAUGUGGCUAUCUCCUCCUAAGGCUUUCGUCCCACCGAUACCAAAUUUGCUCAGGGCAAUCUACACCCCAUGCCCAUUCAAAGUUGUAAAAAUCAUGACGCUGCACCCCACGGUUUACGUUCUAGGGGGCGCCAAAGAUGACCCAAAAAUCCACAUUCUUAAAAGUCAUUUUGGCCACUGCAGGAGUACAGAGUACUGCAGUUCUAGGGGGCGCCAAAGAUGACCCAAAAAUCCACAUUCUUAAAAGUCUUUUUGGCCACUGCAGGAGUACAGAGUACUGCAGGAUACACACACAUACACACACACACACACACACACACACACACACACACACACACACACACACACACACUCAGAGUCUGUUUUUUAGCACCUGCAAAAACAUGCUGUUUACAUAUUUGACAAGAAUGCAGAGGCUUCCUUUUGCCCCUGAAAAAAAUCAGAUUUCAAACACAACUUGACUGUUCAUUUCUCCAAAAGACAACCAUGAAGCUCCAUCCAAACCUGAAGCAGAUAGUUGGUGCAUGUGUACAGUAACCUGAGGGGAGUGAGGUGACUAUUUCUGAGGAGAACAUGAGCAGUGAAGAUUCACCUUGGAGCUAGAACAGGGACGUGCACAUGAUUAUACAGGGGCAGGGGCUCAAGUUUUUUCCAGUCAUUUAUACAAUAUGGAAAUUAAUGUGAAAUUAAACCACAAAUAUGUGUGAUGAACUGUUUUUAAAACUUAAACUUCAAAUAAAAAUUGUAAACUUCAAAACAUAUGCAAAUUUUUAACAAAGAACAUAGUAAUUUACCUCUAUUUACAUCAAAAUGCAGGCAAUGGCCCAGGCGUUCUUUGUAAAAUUAUUUACAAAACACUGUAUAGUCUCACAAAUGUCACUUUUUAUUUAUGCCACUACAAAAAAACAUGAUGUAAAUGAUGCAUGAUGUAAAACAUGAUGUAAAAAACUUGUGUAGAUCCUCCUCUAUGUCAGUCCAUGUGUAAUUUUUCCAUAAUUCUUUGUUUUUUGCAGCAUUUUUGUUAGUGUAACUGCAGAUUGUGCUGACAGUCUAUGGCAAAAAAAACAAAAACUGAAAAUGCCUCAACAUGAACCCCUGGUGGUCUCUGAGGGUGAAACCUGCUAACUGCUGCAGCUCUGUCAGCUUCAGUCUCCCAUGCAGAGCUCGGAGCGCAUGUGUGGCUCUGCACCCUUAGCAGCGUUGCUAACUCCUCAGUAAGGAAAGCCUGCUUCAUGUCAGAGUCUCUAAACUCCAGAAGAAGUCGAUAAAAGUCCCUUUCUUUCUAAAAAAAAGUCGUUAGGGGGUCUGAAAAGUAAUUGAAUCUAACAACAAAGUCGCUAGGUUUGCAACUACGUGUCCCAGACUGCAUCCCUGCUGAGAGUCCCUCCCUCCCUUCUCAUGUUGCAGGAAGAACGUAAGCGCCCGCCCCUUGUCAAUCAGUCACCAUAUAAUUUUGGAUUGGUUGUUGUGGUGAAGUUUUCCACCAAUAGGAGAGAUGUUGUGGUGUGUUUUUUUUUUCUUUUGGCAAGCCUUUUCCGCCUGUAAGACCUGUCGCUAAUGUGUGCAUGCUAUGUUUUCCUGUCUCAUACAGCGCGAUCGAGCGCCGAACGUGAUCAAAACAAGCAGAAAAAAAGUAUCGCGGACAUAAUUUAUCAUAACUCUGGUUUUAUUUGGCCUAUCAACACAAUUUAAAAACUGGUAUAUAGGUUGAGGUCCUCACUUUUGAGACCUAACUCUCAGAUGAAUCUUCAAAAUUCACCUCAGAAAUAUGCUUAUUAUUCUUCUCAGAGUACUGCAAGAUACACACACACACACACACAGACACACACGCACACACACACACACACACACACACACACACACACACACACUCAGAGUCUGUUUUUUAGCACCUGCAAAAACAUGCUAUUUACAUAUUUGACAAGAAUGCAGAGGCUUCCCUUUGCCCCUGAAAAAAAUCAAAUUUCAAACACAACUUGACUGGUCAUUUCUCCAAAAGACAACCAUGAAGCUCCAUCUAAACCUGAAGCAGGCAGUUGGUGCAUGUGUACAGUAACCUGAGGGGAGUGAGGUGAGUGCUUCUGAGGAGAACAUGAGCAGUGAAGAUUCACCUUGGAGCUAGAACAGGGACGUGCACAUGAUAAUACAGGGGCAGGGGCUCAAGUUUUUUCCAGUCGUUUAUACAAUAUGGAAAUUAAUGUGAAAUUAAAAAACAAAGUAUGACUGUCCUGUGUAGGUGACAGUGAUAUCCAAUAGGCUAGGCACUCACGAGGCUGGCUGUGGCAAGUGUAAGUGAAAGCAACACGCACUGGCAGGAAGAACCGAUGAAGGAAAAGGGUCUUUGCAGUGAUGGGCGUUACCAGAGAGGGCGAUGGCCAGAGGAAACGAAUGGGACGGGGAGGCAGCGCGUUGGGGGGGGGGGGGGGGGUGACACGGCUCGGGCCCACCAGUGCCCCAACGGGGCCCUAGUUAGGGCCCGAGCGUAGCAGCUGCGAGAGCCCUCUUGUUCCUGAUGGAUUCUUCUUUCGUUAUUUUUCCUCCGCUUUAAACUGGAAAAUGGCCCACUUCCCACUGGCGAAAACUCAGGAAAUUUGGCAGGACGACCGGGCCUGGUGAAAAAUUUGAUAUUCUGAAGUCGUCCAAACAAAAAAAAUGAAAAAUGGCUCCAUAGCGCCCCCUAUGGUGAAAACUCACCUGAUGCCUGUACGCUUUGUCAUUUUGACACAAAAAUUGACACACACGUGUAUCUCAAUACGGUCUACGAAAAAGUCAGUGCGGGCGCAUCUGUCAAAUGUACGGUUAAAGGGCUAUUUCGCUUUUUUUGCCGAUCCGCACACAUUGGAAUUUCGCUAACUCCUCCGAAGGCUUUCGUUCCACCGGCACCAAAUUUGCUCAGGCCAAUCUACACCCCAUGGCCAUUAAAAGUUGUACAAAUCAUGACGCUGCACCCCACGGUUUAGGUUCUAGGGGGCGCCAAAGAUAACCCAAAAAUCCACAUUCUUAAAAGUCUUAUAACUUUUUAUUUUUGUCCUCACUGGCCUCCAAGGUUUCUAGGAUGAUGCAAUGUCCAGCCAUCAACUCAUUUGUGAAGGAAUUUUUACUCCCCAAAAGAGCGCCCCCCCAUGGCAGGAGAAAAAAGUCCAUUUUUUCUUGUCUCCUAAGGUAAAAAUACACAUUGUUGAGUGUCACGCCUAUACACUUUGUCAUAUUGACACACAAUUUGACAAUCACGUGUAUCUCAAUAAGAUCUACAAAAAAGUCAAUAGGCACGUAUCUGUCAAAUGUACGGUUAAAGGGCUAUUUCGCAUUUUUUGCCGAUUCGCACACAUUGGAAUGUGGCUAUCUCCUUCUAAGGCUUUCGUCCCACCGAUACCAAAUUUGCUCAGGCCAAUCUACACCCCAUGGCCAUUCAAAGUUGUAAAAAUCAUGCUGCUGCACCCCACGGUUUAGGUUCUAGGGGGCGCCAAAGAUGACCCAAAUAUCCAUAUUCUUAAAAGUGUUAUAACUUUUUAUUUUUGUCCUCACUGGCCUCCAAGUUUUCUAGGAUGAUGCAAUGUCCAGCCAUCAACACAUUUGUAAAGGAAUUUUUACUCCUGAAAAAGAGCGCCCCCCCAUGGCAGGAGAAAAGAGUCCAUUUUUUCUUGUCCCCUAAGGUGAAAAAACACAUUGUUGACUGUCACGCCUAUACGCUUUGUCAAAAUGACACAAAAUUUGACACACACGUGUAUCUCAAUAAGAUCUACGAAAAAGUCAAUGGGCACGUAUCUGUAAAAUGUACGGUUAAAGGGCUAUUUCGCAUUUUUUGGCGAUUCGCACACAUUGGAAUGUGGCUAACUCCUCCUAGAGCUUUCGUUUAACCGACACCAAAUUUGCUCAGGCCAAUCUACACCCCAUCACUUUUUAUUUUUGUCCUCACUGGCCUCCAAGUUUUCUAGGAUGAUGCAAUGUCCAGCCAUCAACACAUUUGUACAGGAAUUUUUACUCCUUAAAAGAGCGCCCCCCAUGGCAGGAGAAAAAAAUCCAUUUUUUCUUGUCCCAUUAGGUGAAAAUACACACUGUUCAGUGUCACGCCUGUACGCUUUGUCUUAUUGACACAAAAUUUUACAAUCACGUGUAUCUCAAUAAGAUCUACGAAGAAGUCAAUGCGCACGUAUCUGUAAAAUGUACGGUUAAAGGGCUAUUUUGCAUUUUGUGCCGAUUCGCACACAUUGGAAUGCGGCUAACUCCUCCUAAAGCUUUCGUCCCACCGACACCAAAUUUGCUCAGGCCAAUCUACACCCCAUGGCCAUUCAAAGUUGUACAAAUCAUGACGCUGCACCCCACGGUUUAGGUUCUAGGGGGCGCCAAAGAGGACCUAAAUAUCCACAUUUUUAAAAGUCUUAUAACUUUUUAUUUUUGUCCUCACUGGCCUCCAAGUUUUCUAGGAUGAUGCAAUGUCCAGCCAUCAACACAUUUGUGAAGGAAUUUUUACUCCCCAAAAGAGCGCCCCCCCAUGGCAGGAGAAAAAGUCAAGUUUUUCCUGCCCAUCGCUCAAUGGCUCAAACGCAUCGCUCUCUCGGCAAAACCGAAAGGAGGAGCAACUUGCCAUUUGGAUAUAUACUAGCUGUGUUUGUGCCCUCACUCAUGGUCCAGACUUUUUUCAAAAAGGACAUGGAGUUUGUCUGCAGCGAGCGUUUUGGUAGAAACUGCGCCUCCCAUUCAUUAUAAUGGUAAAUGACCACAGACAAGUGCGCACACCAUCUUUGGACCUUGAGUGUGACGCGAUCGGGAGGGGGAGGCGGUCGCGCUGGGGGCGGUGCGACGCGGCUCGGGCCCGACAGUGCCCCACCGGGGCCCUAGUUAGGGACCGAGCCAGCUGCAGAGCAGCCGGGUGUAGAGCCCUAUUAUUCCUGUAUAGGUUUUUCUUUCUUCUUUCUUUCUUUCUUUCUUUCUUUCUUCUUAUUUUUCCUCCCCUUUGAAGGGGAAAAUGGCCCACUUCCCACUGGCGAAAACUCAUGAAAUUUGGCAGGACGACCGGGCCUGGUGAAAAAUUCGAUAUUCUGAAGUCGCCCAAACAAUAAAAUGCAAAAUGGCUCCAUAGCGCCCCCUAAGGCGAAAAUUCACACUAUUGACUGUCACGCCUGUACGCUUUGUCAUUUUGACACAAAAAUUGACACACACGUGUAUCUCAAUACGGUCUACGAAAAAGUCAGUGCGGGCGCAUCUGUCAAAUGUACGGUUAAAGGGCUAUUUCGCUUUUUUUGCCGAUCCGCACACAUUGGAAUUUCGCUAACUCCUCCGAAGGCUUUCGUUCCACCGGCACCAAAUUUGCUCAGGCCAAUCUACACCCCAUGGCCAUUAAAAGUUGUACAAAUCAUGACGCUGCACCCCACGGUUUAGGUUCUAGGGGGCGCCAAAGAUAACCCAAAAAUCCACAUUCUUAAAAGUCUUAUAACUUUUUAUUUUUGUCCUCACUGGCCUCCAAGGUUUCUAGGAUGAUGCAAUGUCCAGCCAUCAACUCAUUUGUGAAGGAAUUUUUACUCCCCAAAAGAGCGCCCCCCCAUGGCAGGAGAAAAAAGUCCAUUUUUUCUUGUCUCCUAAGGUAAAAAUACACAUUGUUGAGUGUCACGCCUAUACACUUUGUCAUAUUGACACACAAUUUGACAAUCACGUGUAUCUCAAUAAGAUCUACAAAAAAGUCAAUAGGCACGUAUCUGUCAAAUGUACGGUUAAAGGGCUAUUUCGCAUUUUUUGCCGAUUCGCACACAUUGGAAUGUGGCUAUCUCCUUCUAAGGCUUUCGUCCCACCGAUACCAAAUUUGCUCAGGCCAAUCUACACCCCAUGCCCAUUCAAAGUUGUAAAAAUCAUGCCGCUGCACCCCACGGUUUACGUUCUAGGGGGCGCCAAAGAUGACCCAAAAAUCCACAUUCUUAAAAGUCUUUUUGGUCACUGCAGGAGUACAGAGUACUGCAGGAUACACACACAUAUACACACACACACACACACACACACACACACACACACACACACACACACACACACUCAGAGUCUGUUUUUUAGCACCUGCAAAAACAUGCUGUUUACAUAUUUGACAAGAAUGCAGAGGCUUCCUUUUGCCCCUGAAAAAAAUCAAAUUUCAAACACAACUUGACUGUUCAUUUCUCCAAAUGACAACCAUGAAGCUCCAUCCAAACCUGAAGCAGGCAGUUGGUGCAUGUGUACAGUAACCUGAGGGGAGUGAGGUGACUGCUUCUGAGGAGAACAUGAGCAGUGAAGAUUCACCUUGGAGCGAGAACAGGGACGUGCACAUGAUUAUACAGGGGCAGGGGCUCAAGUUUUUUCCAGUCGUUUAUACAAUAUGGAAAUUAAUGUGAAAUUAAAAAACAAAGUAUUAAUAGAAAGGUAAUGACUGUCCUGUGUAGGUGACAGUGAUAUCCAAUAGGCUAGGCACUCACGAGGCUGGCUGUGGCAAGUGUAAGUGAAAGCAACACGCACUGGCAGGAAGAACAGCAAACCCCGAUGAAGGAAAAGGGUCUUUGCAGUGAUGGGCGUUACCAGAGAGGACGAUGGCCAGAGGACGCGAAUGGGACGGGGAGGCAGCGCGUUGGGGGGGGGGGGCGCGACACAGCUCGGGCCCGCCAGUGCCCCAACGGGGCCCUAGUUAUUAUUAUUAGGGCCCGAGCGUAGCUGCUAAGCAGCUGCGAGAGCCCUCUUGUUCCUGAUGGAUUCUUCUUUCGUUAUUUUUCCUCCGCUUUAAACUGGAAAAUGGCCCACUUCCCACUGGCGAAAACUCAGGAAAUUUGGCAGGACGACCGGGCCUGGUGAAAAAUUUGAUAUUCUGAAGUCGCCCAAACAAAAAAAUGAAAAAUGGCUCCAUAGCGCCCCCUAUGGUGAAAACUCACCUGACGCCUGUACGCUUUGUCAUAUUGACACAAAAAUUGACACACACAUGUAUCUCAAUAAGAUCUACAAAAAAGUCAGCGCGGGCGUAUCUGUCAAAUGUACGGUUAAAGGGUUAUUUCGCAUUUUUUGCCGAUCCGCACACAUUGGAAUUUCGCUAACUCCUCCGAAGGCUUUCGUUCCACCGGCACCACAUUUGCUCAGGCCAAUCUACACCCCAUGGCCAUUAAAAGUUGUACAAAUCAUGACGCUGCACCCCACGGUUUACGUUCUAGGGGGCGCCAAAGAUAACCCAAAAAUCCACAGUCUUAAAAGUCUUAUAACUUUUUAUUUUUGUCCUCACUGGCCUCCAAGUUCUCUAGGAUGAUGCAAUGUCCAGCAAUUAACACAUUUGUGAAGGAAUUUUUACUCGCCAAAAGAGCGCCCCCCCAUGGCAGGAGAAAAAAGUCCAUUUUUUCUUGUCCCCUAAGGCGAAUAUACACAUUGUUGAGUGUCACGCCUGUACGCUUUGUCAUAUUGACACAAAAUUUGACAAUCACGUGUAUCUCAAUAAGAUCUACGAAAAAGUCAAUGUGCGCGUAUCUGUAAAAUGUACAGUUAAAGGGCUAUUUCGCAUUUUUUGCCGAUUCGCACACAUUGGAAUGUGGCUAACUCCUCCUAAGGCUUUCGUUCCACUGACACCAAAUUUGCUCAGGCCAAUCUACACCCCAUGGCCAUUAAAAGUUGUACAAAUCAUGACGCUGCAUCCCACGGUUUACGUUCUAGGGGGCGCCAAAGAUGACCCAAAUAUCCACAUUUUUAAAAGUCUUAUAACUUUAUUUUUGUCCUCACUGGCCUCCAAGUUUUCUAGGAUGAUGCAAUGUUCAGUCAUCAACACAUUUGUGAAGGAAUUUUUUUUCCCCAAAAGAGCCUCCCCCCCAUGGCAGGAGAAAAAGUCAAGUUUUUCCUGCCCAUCGCUCAAUGGCUCAAAUUCAUCGCUCUCUCGGCAAAACCGAAAGGAGGAGCACCUUGCCAUUUGGGUAUAUACUAGCUGUGUUUGUGCCCUCACUCAUGGUCCAGACUAUUUUCAAAAAGGACAUGGAGUUUGUCUGCAGCGAGCGUUUUGGUAGAAACUGCGCCUCCCACUCAUUAUAAUGGUAAAUGACCACAGACAAGUGCGCACACCAUCUUUGGACCUUUAGUGUGACGCUAUCGGGAGGGGUAGGUGGUCGCGCUGGGAGCGGCGCGACAGGCUCGGGCCCGCCAGUGCCCCAACGGGGCCCUAGUUAGGGCCCGAGCGUAGCUGCUAAGCAGCUGCGAGAGCCCUCUUGUUCCUGAUGGAUUCUUCUUUUGUUAUUAUUAUUAUUUUUCCUCCGCUUUAAACUGGAAAAUGGCCCACUUCCCACUGGCGAAAACUCAUGAAAUUUGGCAGGACGACCGGGCCUGGUGAAAAAUUCGAUAUUCUGAAGUCGCCCAAACAAGAAAAUGCAAAAUGGCUCCAUAGCGCCCCCUAAGGUGAAAAUUCACACUAUUGACUGUCACACCUGUACGCUUUGUCAUAUUGACACAAAAAUUGACACACACAUGUAUCUCAAUAAGAUCUACAAAAAAGUCAGUGCGGGCGUAUCUGUCAAAUGUACGGUUAAAGGGUUAUUUUGCAUUUUUUGCAGAUCCGCACACAUUGGAAUUUCGCUAACUCCUCCGAAGGCUUUCGUUCCACCGGCACCACAUUUGCUCAGGCCAAUCUACACUCCAUGGCCAUUCAAAGUUGUACAAAUCAUAAUGCUGCACCCCAUGGUUUAGGUUCUAGGGGGCGCCAAAAAUAACCCAAAAAUCCACAUUCUUAAAAGUUUUAUAAAUUUUUUUUUUUGUCCUCACUGGCCUCCAAGUUUUCUAGGAUGAUGCAAUGUCCAGCCAUCAACACAUUUGUGAAGGAAUUUUUACUCCCCAAAAGAGCGCCCCCCCAUGGCAGGAAUAAAAAGUCCAUUUUUUCUUGUCCCCUAAGGUAAAAAUACACAUUGUUGAGUGUCACGCCUGUACGCUUUGUCGUAUUGACAAAAAAUUUGACACACACGUGUAUCUCAAUAAGAUCUACGAAAAAGUCAAUGGGCGCGUAUCUGUAAAAUGUACGGCUAAAGGGCUAUUUUGCAUUUUUUGCCGAUUCGCACACAUUGGAAUGUGGCUAACUCCUCCUAAGGCUUUCGUCCCACUGACACCAAAUUUGCUCAGGCCAAUCUACACCCCAUGGCCAUUCAAAGUUGUAAAAAUCAUGCCGCUGCACCCCAUGGUUUACGUUCUAGUGGGCGCCAAAGAUGACCCAAAUAUCCACAUUCUUAAAAGUCGUUUUGGCCACUGCAGGAGUACAGAGUACUGCAGGAUACACACACACAGACACACACACACACAGACACACACACACACACACACACACACACACAGACACACACACACACACACUCAGAGUCUGUUUUUUAGCACCUGCAAAAACAUGCUAUUUACAUAUUUGACAACAAUGCAGAGGCUUCCUUUUGCCCCUGAAAAAAAUCAAAUUUCUAACACAACUUGACUGCUCAUUUCUCCAAAAGACAACCAUGAAGCUCCAUCCAAACCUGAAGCAGGCAGUUGGUGCAUGUGUACAGUAACCUGAGGGGAGUGAGGUGACUGCUUCUGAGGAGAACAUGAGCAGUGAAGAUUCACCUUGGAGCGAGAACAGGGACGUGCACAUGAUUAUACGGGGGCAGGGGCUCAAGUUUUUUCCAGUCGUUUAUACAAUAUGGAAAUUAAUGUGAAAUUAAAAAACAAAGUAUUAAUAGAAAGGUAAUGACUGUCCUGUGUAGGUGACAGUGAUAUCCAAUAGGCUAGGCACUCACGAGGCUGGCUGUGGCAAGUGUAAGUGAAAGCAACACGCACUGGCAGGAAGAACAGCAAACGCCGAUGAAGGAAAAGGGUCUUUGCAGUGAUGGGUGUUACCAGAGAGGACGAUGGCCAGAGGACGCGAAUGGGACGGGGAGGCAGCGCGUUGGGGGGGGGGGCGACACAGCUCGGGCCCGCCAGUGCCCCAACGGGGCCCUAGUUAUUAUUAUUUUUCCUCCGCUUUAAACUGGAAAAUGGCCCACUUCCCACUGGCGAAAACUCAUGAAAUUUGGCAGGACGACCGGGCCUGGUGAAAAAUUCGAUAUUCUGAAGUCGCCCAAACAAUAAAAUGCAAAAUGGCUCCAUAGCGCCCCCUAAGGUGGAAAUUCACACUAUUGACUGUCACGUCUGUACGUUUUGUCAUAUUGACACAAAAAUUGACACACAUAUGUAUCUCAAUAAGAUCUACAAAAAAGUCAGUGCGGGCGUAUCUGUCAAAUGUACGGUUAAAGGGUUAUUUCGCAUUUUUUGCCGAUCUGCACACAUUGGAAUUUCGCUAACUCCUCCGAAGGCUUUCGUUCCACCGGCACCACAUUUGCUCAGGCCAGUCUACACCCCAUGGCCAUUAAAAGUUGUACAAAUCAUGACGCUGCACCCCACGGUUUAGGUUCUAGGGGGCGCCAAAGAUAACCCAAAAAUCCACAUUCUUAAAAGUCUUAUAACUUUUUAUUUUUGUCCUCACUGGCCUCCAAGUUUUCUAGGAUGAUGCAAUGUCCAGCCAUCAACACAUUUGUGAAGGAAUUUUUACUCCCCAAAAGAGCGCCCCCCCAUGGCAGGAGAAAAAAGUCAAUUUUUUCUUGUCCCCUUACAUGAAAAUACACAUUGUUGAGUGUCACGCCUGAACGCUUUGUCAUAUUGACACAAAAAUUGACAAUCAUGUGUAUCUCAAUUAGAUCUACGAAAAAGUCAAUGCGCGCGUAUCUGUCAAAUGUACGGUUAAAGGGCUAUUUCGCAUUUUUUGCCGAUUCGCACACAUUGGAAUGUGGCUAUCUCCUCCUAAGGCUUUCGUCCCACUGAUACCAAAUUUGCUCAGGGCAAUCUACACCCCAUGCCCAUUCAAAGUUGUAAAAAUCAUGACGCUGCACCCCACGGUUUACGUUCUAGGGGGCGCCAAAGAUGACCCAAAAAUCCACAUUCUUAAAAGUCAUUUUGGCCACUGCAGGAGUACAGAGUACUGCAGUUCUAGGGGGCGCCAAAGAUGACCCAAAAAUCCACAUUCUUAAAAGUCUUUUUGGCCACUGCAGGAGUACAGAGUACUGCAGGAUACACACACAUAUACACACACACACACACACACACACACACACACACACACACACUCAGAGUCUGUUUUUUAGCACCUGCAAAAACAUGCUGUUUACAUAUUUGACAAGAAUGCAGAGGCUUCCUUUUGCCCCUGAAAAAAAUCAAAUUUCAAACACAACUUGACUGUUCAUUUCUCCAAAAGACAACCAUGAAGCUCCAUCCAAACCUGAAGCAGAUAGUUGGUGCAUGUGUACAGUAACCUGAGGGGAGUGAGGUGACUAUUUCUGAGGAGAACAUGAGCAGUGAAGAUUCACCUUGGAGCUAGAACAGGGACGUGCACAUGAUUAUACAGGGGCAGGGGCUCAAGUUUUUUCCAGUCAUUUAUACAAUAUGGAAAUUAAUGUGAAAUUAAAAAACAAAGUAUUAAUAGAAAGGUUAUGACUGUCCUGUGUAGAUGACAGUGAUAUCCAAUAGGCUAGGCACUCACGAGGCUGGCUGUGGCAAGUGUAAGUGAAAGCAACACGCACUGGCAGGAAGAACAGCAAACGCCAAUGAAGGAAAGGGUCUUUGCAGUGAUGGGCGUUACCAGAGAGGACAAUGGCCAGAGGACGCGAAUGGGACGGGGAGGCAGCGCGUUGGGGGGGGCAGCGCAACACGGCUCGGGCCCGCCAGUGCCCCAACGGGGCCCUAGUUAUUAUUAUUUUUCCUCCGCUUUAAACUGGAAAAUGGCCCACUUCCCACUGGCGAAAACUCAUGAAAUUUGGCAGGACAACUGGGCCUGGUGAAAAAUUCGAUAUUCUGAAGUCGCCCAAACAAUAAAAUGCAAAAUGGCUCCAUAGCGCCCCCUAAGGUGAAAAUUCACACUAUUGACUGUCACGCCUGUACGCUUUGUCAUAUUGACACAAAAAUUGACACACACAUGUAUCUCAAUAAGAUCUACAAAAAAGUCAGUGCGGGCGUAUCUGUCAAAUGUAGGGUUAAAGGGUUAUUUCGCAUUUUUUGCAGAUCCGCACACAUUGGAAUUUCGCUAACUCCUCCGAAGGCUUUCGUUCCACCAGCACCACGUUUGCUCAGGCCAAUCUACACCCCAUGGCCAUUCAAAGUUGUACAAAUCAUGACGCUGCACCCCACGGUUUAGGUUCUAGGGGGCGCCAAAGAGGACCCAAAUAUCCACAUUUUUAAAAGUCUUAUAACUUUUUAUUUUUGUCCUCACUGGCCUCCAAGUUCUCUAGGAUGAUGCAAUGUCCAGCCAUCAACACAUUUGUGGAGGAAUUUUUACUCGCCAAAAGAGCGCCCCCCCAUGGCAGGAGAAAAAAGUCAAUUUUUUCUUGUCCCCCAAGGCAAAAAUACACAUUGUUGAAUGUCACGCCUGUACGCUUUGUCAUAUUGACACAAAAUUUGACAAUCACGUGUAUCUCAAUAAGAUCUACGAAAAAGUCAAUGCGCGCGUAUCUGUAAAAUGUACGGUUAAAGGGCUAUUUCGCUUUUUUUGCCGAUUCGCACACAUUGGAAUGUAGCUAACUCCUCCUAAGGCUUUCGUCCCACUGACACCAAAUUUGCUCAGGCCAAUCUACACCCCAUGGCCAUUCAAAUUUGUACAAAUCAUGAAGCUGCACCCCACGGUUAAGGUUCUAGGGGGCGCCAAAGAUGACCCAAAUAUCCCCAUUUUUAAAAGUCUUAAAACUUUUUAUUUUUGUCCUCACUGGCCUCCAAGUUUUCUAGGAUGAUGCAAUGUCCAGCCAUCAACACAUUUGUGAAGGAAUUUUUACUCCCCAAAAGAGCGUCCCCCCAUGGCAGGAGAAAAAAGUCAAAUUUUUUCUUGUCUCCUAAGGUGAAAAUACACAUUGUUGAGAUUCACGCCUCUACGCUUUGUCAUAUUAACACAAAAAUUGACACACACAUGUAUCUCAAUAAGAUCUACGAAAAAGUCAAUGGGCACGUAUCUGUAAAAUGUACGGUUAAAGGGCUAUUUUGCAUUUUUUGGCGAUUCGCACACAUUGGAAUGUGGCUAACUCCUCCUAGAGCUUUCGUUUAACCGACACCAAAUUUGCUCAGGCCAAUCUACACCCCAUCACUUUUUAUUUUUGUCCUCACUGGCCUCCAAGUUUUCUAGGAUGAUGCAAUGUCCAGCCAUCAACACAUUUGUGAAGGAAUUUUUACUCCUUAAAAGAGCGCCCCCCCAUGGCAGGAGAAAAAAAUCCAUUUUUUCUUGUCCCAUUAGGUGAAAAUACACACUGUUCAGUGUCACGCCUGUACGCUUUGUCUUAUUGACACAAAAUUUUACAAUCACGUGUAUCUCAAUAAGAUCUACGAAGAAGUCAAUGCGCACGUAUCUGUAAAAUGUACGGUUAAAGGGCUAUUUUGCAUUUUGUGCCGAUUCGCACACAUUGGAAUGCGGCUAACUCCUCCUAAAGCUUUCGUCCCACCGACACCAAAUUUGCUCAGGCCAAUCUACACCCCAUGGCCAUUCAAAGUUGUACAAAUCAUGACGCUGCACCCCACGGUUUAGGUUCUAGGGGGCGCCAAAGAGGACCCAAAUAUCCACAUUUUUAAAAGUCUUAUAACUUUUUAUUUUUGUCCUCACUGGCCUCCAAGUUUUCUAGGAUGAUGCAAUGUCCAGCCAUCAACACAUUUGUGAAGGAAUUUUUACUCCCCAAAAGAGCGCCCCCCCAUGGCAGGAGAAAAAGUCAAGUUUUUCCUGCCCAUCGCUCAAUGGCUCAAAUGCAUCGCUCUCUCGGCAAAACCGAAAGGAGGAGCAACUUGCCAUUUGGAUAUAUACUAGCUGUGUUUGUGCCCUCACUCAUGGUCCAGACUUUUUUCAAAAAGGACAUGGAGUUUGUCUGCAGCGAGCGUUUUGGUAGAAACUGCGACUCCCAUUCAUUAUAAUGGUAAAUGACCACAGACAAGUGCGCACACCAUCUUUGGACCUUGAGUGUGACGCGAUCGGGAGGGGUAGGCGGUCGCGCUGGGGGCGGCGCGACACGGCUCGGGCCCGCCAGUGCCCCACCGGGGCCCUAGUUAUUAUUAUUAUUUUUUUUCCUCCGCUUUAAACUGGAAAAUGGCCCACUUCCCACUGGCGAAAACUCAUGAAAUUUGGCAGGACGACCGGGCCUGGUGAAAAAUUCGAUAUUCUGAAGUCGCCCAAAGAAUAAAAUGCAAAAUGGCUCCAUAGCGCCCCCUAAGGUGGAAAUUCACACUGUUGACUGUCACGCCUGUACGCUUUGCCAUAUUGACACAAAAAUUGACACACACAUGUAUCUCAAUAAGAUCUACAAAAAAGUCAGUGCGGGCGUAUCUGUCAAAUGUACGGUUAAAGGGUUAUUUCGCAUUUUUUGCCGAUCCGCACACAUUGAAAUUUUGCUAACUCCUCCGAAGGCUUUCGUUCCACCGGCACCACAUUUGCUCAGGCCAAUCUACACCCCAUGGCCAUCGAAAGUUGUACAAAUCAUGAUGCUGCACCCCACGGUUAAGUUUUAGGGGGCGCCAAAGAUAACCAAAAAAUCCACAUUCUUAAAAGUCUUAUAACUUUUUAUUUUUUUCCUCACUGGCCUCCAAGUUCUCUAGGAUGAUGCAAUGUCCAGCCAUCAACACAUUUGUGAAGGAAUUCUUACUCCCCAAAAGAGCGCCCCCACAUGGCAGGAGAAAAAAGUCAAUUUUUUCUUGUCCCCUAAGGUGAAAAUACACAUUGUUGACUGUCACGCCUGUACGCUUUGUCAUAUUGACACAAAAAUUGACACACACAUGUAUCUCAAUAAGAUCUACGAAAAAGUCAAUGGGCACGUAUCUGUAAAAUGUACGGUUAAAGGGCUAUUUUGCAUUUUUUGCUGAUUCGCACACAUUGGAAUGUGGCUAACUCGUCCUACAGCUUUCGUCCCACUGACACCAAAUUUGCUCAGGCCAAUCUACACCCCAUGGCCAUUCAAAGUUGUAAAAAUCAUGCUGCUGCACCCCACGGUUUAGGUUCUAGGGGGCGCCAAAGAUGACCCAAAUAUCCAUAUUCUUAAAAGUGUUAUAACUUUUUAUUUUUGUCCUCACUGGCCUCCAAGUUUUCUAGGAUGAUGCAAUGUCCAGCCAUCAACACAUUUGUAAAGGAAUUUUUACUCCUGAAAAAGAGCGCCCCCCCAUGGCAGGAGAAAAGAGUCCAUUUUUUCUUGUCCCCUAAGGUGAAAAAACACAUUGUUGACUGUCACGCCUAUACGCUUUGUCAAAAUGACACAAAAUUUGACACACACGUGUAUCUCAAUAAGAUCUACGAAAAAGUCAAUGGGCACGUAUCUGUAAAAUGUACGGUUAAAGGGCUAUUUCGCAUUUUUUGGCGAUUCGCACACAUUGGAAUGUGGCUAACUCCUCCUAGAGCUUUCGUUUAACCGACACCAAAUUUGCUCAGGCCAAUCUACACCCCAUCACUUUUUAUUUUUGUCCUCACUGGCCUCCAAGUUUUCUAGGAUGAUGCAAUGUCCAGCCAUCAACACAUUUGUACAGGAAUUUUUACUCCUUAAAAGAGCGCCCCCCCAUGGCAGGAGAAAAAAAUCCAUUUUUUCUUGUCCCAUUAGGUGAAAAUACACACUGUUCAGUGUCACGCCUGUACGCUUUGUCUUAUUGACACAAAAUUUUACAAUCACGUGUAUCUCAAUAAGAUCUACGAAGAAGUCAAUGCGCACGUAUCUGUAAAAUGUACGGUUAAAGGGCUAUUUUGCAUUUUGUGCCGAUUCGCACACAUUGGAAUGCGGCUAACUCCUCCUAAAGCUUUCGUCCCACCGACACCAAAUUUGCUCAGGCCAAUCUACACCCCAUGGCCAUUCAAAGUUGUACAAAUCAUGACGCUGCACCCCACGGUUUAGGUUCUAGGGGGCGCCAAAGAGGACCUAAAUAUCCACAUUUUUAAAAGUCUUAUAACUUUUUAUUUUUGUCCUCACUGGCCUCCAAGUUUUCUAGGAUGAUGCAAUGUCCAGCCAUCAACACAUUUGUGAAGGAAUUUUUACUCCCCAAAAGAGCGCCCCCCAUGGCAGGAGAAAAAGUCAAGUUUUUCCUGCCCAUCGCUCAAUGGCUCAAACGCAUCGCUCUCUCGGCAAAACCGAAAGGAGGAGCAACUUGCCAUUUGGAUAUAUACUAGCUGUGUUUGUGCCCUCACUCAUGGUCCAGACUUUUUUCAAAAAGGACAUGGAGUUUGUCUGCAGCGAGCGUUUUGGUAGAAACUGCGCCUCCCAUUCAUUAUAAUGGUAAAUGACCACAGACAAGUGCGCACACCAUCUUUGGACCUUGAGUGUGACGCGAUCGGGAGGGGGAGGCGGUCGCGCUGGGGGCGGUGCGACGCGGCUCGGGCCCGACAGUGCCCCACCGGGGCCCUAGUUAGGGACCGAGCCAGCUGCAGAGCAGCCGGGUGUAGAGCCCUAUUAUUCCUGUAUAGGUUUUUCUUUCUUCUUCUUUCUUUCUUUCUUUCUUUCUUUCUUCUUAUUUUUCCUCCCCUUUGAAGGGGAAAAUGGCCCACUUCCCACUGGCGAAAACUCAUGAAAUUUGGCAGGACGACCGGGCCUGGUGAAAAAUUCGAUAUUCUGAAGUCGCCCAAACAAUAAAAUGCAAAAUGGCUCCAUAGCGCCCCCUAAGGCGAAAAUUCACACUAUUGACUGUCACGCCUGUACGCUUUGUCAUUUUGACACAAAAAUUGACACACACGUGUAUCUCAAUACGGUCUACGAAAAAGUCAGUGCGGGCGCAUCUGUGAAAUGUACGGUUAGAGGGUUAUUUCGCAUUUUUUCCCGAUCCGCACACAUUGGAAUUUCGCUAACUCCUCCGAAGGCUUAAGUUCCACCGCCACCAAAUUUGCUCAGGCCAAUCUACACCCCAUGGCCAUUAAAAGUUGUACAAAUCAUGACGCUGCACUCCACGGUUUACGUUCUAGGGGGCGCCAAAGAUAACCCAAAAAUCCACAUUCUUAAUAGUCUUAUAACUUUUUAUUUUUGUCCUCACUGGCCUCCAAGUUUUCUAGGAUGAUGCAAUGUCCAGCCAUCAACACAUUUGUAAAGGAAUUUUUACUCCCGAAAAGGGCGCCCCCCCAUGGCAGGAGAAAAAAGUACAUUUUUUCUUGUCCCCUAAGGUGAAAAAACACAUUGUUGACUGUCACGCCUAUACGCUUUGUCAAAAUGACACAAAAUUUGACACACACGUGUAUCUCAAUAAGAUCUACGAAAAAGUCAAUGGGCACGUAUCUGUAAAAUCUACGGUUAAAGGGCUAUUUCGCAUUUUUUGCCGAUUCGCACACAUUGGAAUGUGGCUAACUCCUCCUAAGGCUUUCUUCCCACCGACACCAAAUUUGCUCAAGCCGAUCUACAUCCCAUGGCCAUUCAAAGUUGUAAAAAUCAUGCCGCUGCACCCCAUGGUUUACGUUCUAGGGGGCGCCAAAGAUGACCCAAAUAUCCACAUUCUUAAAAGAAUCCACAUCCCCCCCCCCCCCAAGGCAGGAGAAAAAGUCCAGUUAACCCUGCCCAUCGCUCAAUGGCUCAAUCGCAUCGCUCUCCCGGCAACACCGUAAGGAGGAGCAACUUGCCAUUUGGAUAUAUCCUAGCUGUGUUUGUGCCCUCACUCAUGGUCCAGACUUUUUUCAAAUAGGACAUGUAGUUUGUCUGCAGCGGCCGUUUUGGUAGAAACUGCGCCUCCCAUUCAUUAUAAUGGGAAAUGACCACAGACAAGUGCGCACACCAUCUUUGGACCUUCAGUGUGAUGCAAUCGGGAGGGGGAGGCGGUCGCGCUGGGGGCGGCGCGACGCGGCUCGGGCCCGACAGUGCCCCACCGGGGCCCUAGUGUUGAGAUUCACGCCUGUACGCUUUGUCAUAUUGACACAAAAUUUGACAAUCACGUGUAUCUCAAUAAGAUCUACGAAAAAGUCAAUGCACAAAUAUCUGUAAAAUGUACGGUUAAAGGGCUAUUUCGAAUUUUUAGCCGAUUCACACACAUUGGAAUGUAGCUAACUCCUCCUAAGGCUUUCGUCCCAGUGACACCAAAUAUUUCAGGCCAAUCUACACCCCAUGGCCAUUCAAAGUUGUAAAAAUCAUGACGCUGCACCCCACGGUUUACGUUCUAGGGGGCGCCAAAAAUGACCCAAAUAUCCAUAUUCUUAAAAGUGUUAGAACAUUUCAUUUUUGUCCUCACUGGACUCCAUGUUUUCUAGGAUGAUGCAAUGUCCAGCCAUCAACACAUUUGUGAAGGAGUUUUUUCUCGUUAAAAGAGCGCCCCCCCAUGGCAGGAGAAUAAAGUCAAGUUUUUCCUGUUCAUAGUUCAAUGGCUCAAACGCACUGCUCUCUCGGCAAAAGCGAAAGGAGGAGCAACUUGCCGUUUGGAUAUUUCCUAGCUGUGUUUGUGCCCUCAUGGUCCAGACUUUUUUCAAAUAGGACAUGUAGUUUGUCUGCAGCCAGCGUUUCGGUAGAAACUGCGCCUCCCAUUCAUUAUAAUGGGAAAUGACCAAAGACAGGUGUGCACACUAUCUUUGGACCUCGACUGUGACGUCACAGUUUGACAUUUAAAUGUUAUUUGACCUCUGACCUUUGGUGGAGACGUGAACCUUUCAACCUGCAAAAACGGCGUUUCAAUAGCUCUUACGGCUUUUCUACAAAUACACUUUGUUCUGCUGCUCCUACUGUCUCUUCAGAGCUUAGGAUACACAAACACACACAUACACACACACACACACACACACACACAGAGUCUGUUUUUUAGCACCUGCAAAAACAUGCUAUUUACAUAUUUGACAAGAAUGCAGGGGCUUCCUUUUGCCCCUGAAAAAAAUCAAAUUUCAAACACAACUUGACUGCUCAUUUCUCCAAAAGACAACCAUGAAGCUCCAUCCAAACCUAAAGCAGGCAGUUGGUGCAUGUGUACAGUAACCUGAGGGGACUGAGGUGACUGCUUCUGAGGAGAACAUGAGCAGUGAAGAUUCACCUUGGAGAUAGAACAGGGACGUGCACAUGAUUAUACAGGGGCAGGGGCUCAAGUUUUUUCCAGUCGUUUAUACAAUAUGGAAAUUAAUGUGAAAUUAAAAAACAAAGUAUUAAUAGAAAGGUAAUGACUGUCCUGUGUAGGUGACAGUGAUAUCCAAUAGGCUAGGCACUCACGAGGCUGGCUGUGGCAAGUGUAAGUGAAAGCAACACGCACUGGCAGGAAGAACAGCAAACACCGAUGAAGGAAAAGGGUCUUUGCAGUGAUGGGCGCUACCAGAGAGGGCGAUGGCCAGAGGACGUGAAUGGGACGGGGAGGCAGCCCGUUGGGGGGGGGGGGGGGGGGGGGCGACACGGCUCGGGCCCGCCAGUGCCCCAACGGGGCCCUAGUUCGUUAUUAUUUUUCCUCCGCUUUAAACUGGAAAAUGGCCCACUUCCCACUAGCGACAACUCAGGAAAUUUGGCAGGACGACCGGGCCUGGUGAAAAAUUCGAUAUUCUGAAGUCGCCCAAACAAUAAAAUGCAAAAUGGCUCCAUAGCGCCCCCUAAGGUGAAAAUUCAUAUGACGGCUGUACGCUUUGUCAUAUUGAAACAAAAAUUGACACACACAUGUAUCUCAAUAAGAUCUACAAAAAAGUCAGUGCGGGCGUAUCUGUCAAAUGUACGGUUAAUGGGUUAUUUUGCAUUUUUUGCAGAUCUGCACACAUUGGAAUUUCGCUAACUCCUCCAAAGGCUUUCGUUCGACCGGCACCACAUUUGCGCAGGCCAAUCUACCCCCCAUGGCCAUUAAAAGUUGUACAAAUCAUGACGCUGCACCCCACGGUUUACGUUCUAGGGGGCGCCAAAGAUAACCCAAAAAUCCACAUUCUUAAAAGUCUUAUAACUUUUUACUUUUGUCCUCACUGGCCUUCAAGUUUUCUAGGAUGAUGCAAUGUCCAGCCAUCAACACAUUUGUGAAGGAAUUUUUACUCCCCAAAAGAGCUCCCCCCAAUGGCAGGAGAAAAAGGUCCAUUUUUUCUUGUCCGCUAACAUGAAAAUACACAUUGUAGAGUGUCACGCCUGAACGCUUUGUCAUAUUGACAAAAAAUUUGACACACACGUGUAUCUCAAUAAGAUCUACGAAAAAGUCAAAGGGCAUGUAUCUGUCAAAUGUACGGUUAAAGGGCUAUUUUGCAUUUUUUGCCGAUCCGCACACAUUGGAAUUUCGCUAACUCCUCCGAAGGCUAUCUUUCCACCGGCACCAAAUUUGCUCAGGCCAAUCUACACCCCAUGGCCAUUAAAAGUUGUACAAAUCAUCUUGCUGCACCCCACGGUUUGGGUUCUAGGGGGCACCAAAUAUAACCCAAAAAUCCACAUUCUUAAAAGUCUUAUAACUUUUUAUUUUUUUUCAUACUGGCCUCUAAGUUUUUUAGGAUGAUGCAAUGUCCAGCCAUCAACACAUUUGUGAAGAAAUUUUUACUCCCCAAAAGAGCGCCCCCCCAUGGCAGGAGAAAAAAGUCCAUUUUUUCUUAUCCCGAAAGGUGAAAAUUCACGUUGUUGAGUGUCACGCCUUUACGCUUUGUCAUAUUGACAAAAAAUUUGAAAAUCACGUGUAUCUCAAUAAGAUCUAUGAAAAAGUCAAUGGGCACGUAAGUGUAAAAUGUACAGUUAAAGGGCUAUUUUGCAUUUUUUGCCGAUUCGCACACAUUGGAAUUUCGCUAAGUCCUCCUAAGGCUUUCGUCCCACUGACACCAAAUUUGCUCAGGCCAAUCUACACUCCAUGGCCAUUCAAAGUUGUACAAAUCAUGACGCUGCACCCCACGGUUUAGGUUCUAGGGGGCGCCAAAGAUAACCCUAAAAUCCACAUAUUUAAAAGUCUUAUAACUUUUUAUUUUUGCCCUCACUGGCCUCCAAGUUUUCUAGGAUGAUGCAAUGUCCAGCCAUCAACACAUUUGUGAAGGAAUUUUUACUCCCCAAAAGAGCGCCCCCCCAUGGCAGGACAAAAAAGUCCAUUUUUUCUUGUCCACUAAGGUGAAAAUUCACACUAUUGACUGUCACGCCUGUACGCUUUGUCAUAUUGACACAAAAAUUGACACACACAUGUAUCUCAAUAAGAUCUACAAAAAAGUCAGUGCGGGCGUAUCUGUCAAAUGUACGGUUAAAGGGUUAUUUCGCAUUUUUUGCAGAUCCGCACACAUUGGAAUUUCGCUAACUCCUCCGAAGGCUUUCCUUCCACCGGCACCACAUUUGCUCAGGCCAAUCUACACCCCAUGGCCAUUAAAAGUUAUUCAAAUCAUGACGCUGCACCCCACGGUUUAGGUUCUAGGGGGUGCCAAAGAUAACCCUAAAAUCCACAUAUUUCAAAGUCUUAUAACUUUUUAUUUUUGUCCUCACUGGCCUCCAAGUUUUCUAGGAUGAUGCAAUGUCCAGCCAUCAACACAUUUGUGAAGGAAUUUUUACUCCCCAAAAGAGCGCCCCCCCAUGGCAGGAGAAAAAAGUCCAUUUUUUCUUGUCCCGUAAGGUGAAAAUUCACAUUGUUGAGUGUGACACCUGUACGCUUUGUCAUAUUGACACAAAAUUUGACAAUCACGUGUAUCUCAAUAAGAUCUACGAAAAAGUCAAUGGGUGCGUAUCUGUCAAAUGUACGGUUAGAGGGCUAUUUUGCAUUUUUGGCCAAUUCGCACACAUUGGAAUGUGGCUAACUCCUCCUAAGGCUUUCGUCCCACUGAAACCAAAUUUGCUCAGGCCAAUCUACACCCCAUGGCCAUUCAAAGUUGUAAAAAUCAUGACGCUGCACCCCACGGUUUACGUUCUAGGGGGCGCCAAAGAUGACCAAAAAAUCCACAUUCUUAAAAGAAUCCACAUUCUCCCCCCCGAUGGCACGAGAAAAAGUCAAGUUUUUCCUGCCCAUCGCUCAAUGGCUCAAUCGCAUCGCUCUCCAGGCAACACCGUAAGGAGGAGCAACCUGCCAUUUGGAUAUAUCCCAGCUGUGUUUGUGCCCUCACUCAUGGUCCAGACUUUUUUCAAACAGGACAUGAAGUUUGUCUGCAGCGAGUGUUUUGGUAGAAACUGCGCCUCCCAUUCAUUAUAGUGGGAAAUGACCACAGACAAGUGCGCACACCAUCUUUGGACCUUGAGUGUGACGCGAUCGGGAGGGGGAGGCGGUCACGCUGGGGGCGGCACGACGCGGCUCGGGCCCGACAGUGCCCCACCGGGGCCCUAGUUAUUAUUUUUCUGCCCCUUUGAACUGGAAAAUGGCCCACUUCCCACUGGUGAAAACUCAUGAAAUUUGGCAGGACGACCGGGGCUGGUGAAAAAUUCGAUAUUCUGAAGUCGGCCAAACAAUAAAAUGCAAAAUGGCUCCAUAGCGCCCCCUAAGGUGAAAAAUUCACAUGAUUGAGUGUCACACCUGUACGCUUUGUCAAAAUGACACAAAAUUUGACACACACGUGUAUCUCAAUAAGAUCUACAAAAAAGUCAGCGCGGGCGUAUCUGUCAAAUGUACGGUUAAAGGGCUAUUUUGCAUUUUUUGCCAAUCCGCACACAGUGGAAUUUCGCUAAACUCCUCCGAAGGCUUUCGUUCCACCGGCACCAAAUUUGCUCAGGCCAAUCUACACCCCAUGGCCAUUAAAAGUUGUACAAAUCAUGACGCUGCACCCCACGGUUUACGUUCUAGGGGGCACCAAAGAUAACCCAAAAAUCCACAGUCUUAAAAGUCUUAUUACUUUUUAUUUUUGUCCUCACUGGCCUCCAAGUUUUCUAGGAUGAUGCAAUGUCCAGCCAUCAACACAUUUGUGAAGGAAUUUUUACUCCCCAAAAGAGCGCCCCCCCAUGGCAGGAGAAAAAAGUCCAUUUUUUCUUGUCCCCUAAGGUGAAAAAACACAUUGUUGACUGUUACGCCUAUACGCUUUGUCAAAAUGACACAAAAUUUGACAAUCACGUGUAUCUCAAUAAGAUCUACGAAAAAGUCAAUGGGCACGUAUCUGUAAAAUGUACGGUUAAAGGGCUAUUUCGCAUUUUUUUGCCGAUUCGCACGCAUCGGAAUGUAGCUAACUCCUCCUAAGGCUUUCGUCCCACUGACACCAAAUUUUUGUCAGGCCAAUCUACACCCCAUGGCCAUUCAAAGUUGUAAAAAUCAUGACGCUGCACCCCACGGUUUACGUUUUAGGGGGCGCCAAAGAUUACCCAAAUAUCCAUAUUCUUUAAAGUGUUAAAACAUUUUAUUUUUGUCCUCACUAGCCUCCAUGUUUUCUAGGAUGAUGCAAUGUCCAGCCAUCAACACAUUUGUGAAGGACUUUUUUCUCGUUAAAAGAGCGCCCCCCCCCCCCAUGGCAGGAGAAUAAAGUCAAGUUUUUCCUGUUCAUCGUUCAAUGGCUCAAACACAUCGCUCUCUCGGCAAAAGCGAAAGGAGAAGCAAUUUGCCAUUUGGAUAUUUCCUAGCUGUGUUUGUGCCCUCACUCGUGGUCCAGACUUUUUUCAAAUAGGACAUGUAGUUUGUCUGCAGCCAGCGUUUCGGUAGAAACUGCGCCUCCCAUUCAUUAUAAUGGGAAAUGACCAAAGACAGGUGUGCACACUAUCUUUGGACCUUGACUGUGACGUCACAGUAUGACAUUCAAAUGUUAUUUGACCUCUGACCUUUGGUGGAGACGUGAACCUUUCAACCUGCAAAAACAGCGUUUCAAUAGCUCUUACGGCUUUUCUACAAAUACACUUUGUUCUGCUGCUCCUACUGUCUCUUCAGAGCUGCUUCACAGAUCAUCAAAGAGUGUGAAUGUGUGUAAUAAUAUAAUCAUUUUUAGUGACAAUGAUUUUUAGUGACAUCAUACAUUUGUUUUUUUCAGCAGAGGCAGCCACCUUAAAUGUUGACGUGUGUUUUCUGCAGUUGCAUCACAUGGCCACAGGGUGCCAGUGUUGGACUCAUUUUCCAGGGUCUAUUGUUGUUGCUAACAUGUAUUUGUAAAAUCAAACCCCUAUUUUUAUAAUAGAAAAUGUCCUGUGAAGAUUUGUCCACUGCAGUGACCGUUAUAUGUGAAAGGGUUAAUUGUGUAGUGGAAGUGUUUAGUGUUUAGGAUACACACACACAGACACACACACACACACAGACACACACACACACACACACACACACACACACACACACACACAGAGUCUGUUUUUUAGCACCUGCAAAAACAUGCUAUUUACAUAUUAGACAGGAAUGCAGAGGCUUGCCCCUGAAAAAAUCAAAUGUCAAACGCAAAUUGGCUGGUCAUUUCUCCAAAAGACAACCAUGAAGGGCUAUCUAAACCUGAAGCAUGCAGUUGCUGCAUGUGUACAGUAACCUGAGGGGAGUGAGGUGACUGCUUCUGAGGAGAACAUGAGCAGUGAAGAUUCACCUUAGAGCCAGAACAGGGAUGUGCACAUGAUUAUAGAGGGGCAGGGGCUCAAGUCUUUUCCAGUCCUUUAUACAAAAUGGAAAUUAAUGUGAAAUUAAAAAACAAAGUAUUAAUAGAAAGGUAAUGACUGUCCUGUGUAGAUGACAGUGAUAUCCAAUAGGCUAGGCACUCACGAGGCUGACUGUGGCAAGUGUAAGUGAAAGCAACACGCACUGGCAGGAAGAACAGCAAACGCCGAUGAAGGAAAAGGGUCCUUGCAGUGAUGGGCGUUACCAGAGAGGGCGAUGGCCAGAGGACGCGAAUGGGACGGGGAGGCAGCGCGUUGGGGGGGGGGGGGGGGGGGCGUGACACGGCUCGGGCCCGCCAGUGCCCCAACGGGGCCCUAGUUAUUAGGGCCCGAGCCAGCUGCAGAGCAGCCGGGCGUAGAGCCCUAUUAUUCCUGUAUAGGUUUUUCUUUCUUCUUUCUUUCUUUCUUUCUUCUUAUUUUUCCUCCCCUUUGAAGGGGAAAAUGGCCCACUUCCCACUGGCGAAAACUCAGGAAAUUUGGCAGGACGACCGGGCCUGGUGAAAAAUUCGAUAUUCUGAAGUCGCCCAAACAAUAAAAUGCAAAAUGGCUCCAUAGCGCCCCCUAAGGUGAAAAUUCACACUAUUGACUGUCACGCCUGUACGCUUUGUCAUAUUGACACAAAAAUUGACACACACAUGUAUCUCAAUAAGAUCUACGAAAAAGUCAAUGGGCACGUAUCUGUAAAAUGUACGGUUAAAGGGCUAUUUCGCAUUUUUUUGCCGAUUCGCACGCAUCGGAAUGUAGCUAACUCCUCCUAAGGCUUUCGUCCCACUGACACCAAAUUUUUGUCAGGCCAAUCUACACCCCAUGGCCAUUCAAAGUUGUAAAAAUCAUGACGCUGCACCCCACCGUUUACGUUUUAGGGGGCGCCAAAGAUUACCCAAAUAUCCAUAUUCUUUAAAGUGUUAAAACAUUUUAUUUUUGUCCUCACUAGCCUCCAUGUUUUCUAGGAUGAUGCAAUGUCCAGCCAUCAACACAUUUGUGAAGGACUUUUUUCUCGUUAAAAGAGCGCCCCCCCCCAUGGCAGGAGAAUAAAGUCAAGUUUUUCCUGUUCAUCGUUCAAUGGCUCAAACACAUCGCUCUCUCGGCAAAAGCGAAAGGAGAAGCAAUUUGCCAUUUGGAUAUUUCCUAGCUGUGUUUGUGCCCUCACUCGUGGUCCAGACUUUUUUCAAAUAGGACAUGUAGUUUGUCUGCAGCCAGCGUUUCGGUAGAAACUGCGCCUCCCAUUCAUUAUAAUGGGAAAUGACCAAAGACAGGUGUGCACACUAUCUUUGGACCUUGACUGUGACGUCACAGUAUGACAUUCAAAUGUUAUUUGACCUCUGACCUUUGGUGGAGACGUGAACCUUUCAACCUGCAAAAACAGCGUUUCAAUAGCUCUUACGGCUUUUCUACAAAUACACUUUGUUCUGCUGCUCCUACUGUCUCUUCAGAGCUGCUUCACAGAUCAUCAAAGAGUGUGAAUGUGUGUAAUAAUAUAAUCAUUUUUAGUGACAAUGAUUUUUAGUGACAUCAUACAUUUGUUUUUUUCAGCAGAGGCAGCCACCUUAAAUGUUGACGUGUGUUUUCUGCAGUUGCAUCACAUGGCCACAGGGUGCCAGUGUUGGACUCAUUUUCCAGGGUCUAUUGUUGUUGCUAACAUGUAUUUGUAAAAUCAAACCCCUAUUUUUAUAAUAGAAAAUGUCCUGUGAAGAUUUGUCCACUGCAGUGACCGUUAUAUGUGAAAGGGUUAAUUGUGUAGUGGAAGUGUUUAGUGUUUAGGAUACACACACACAGACACACACACACACACAGACACACACACACACACACACACACACACACACACAGAGUCUGUUUUUUAGCACCUGCAAAAACAUGCUAUUUACAUAUUAGACAGGAAUGCAGAGGCUUGCCCCUGAAAAAAUCAAAUGUCAAACGCAAAUUGGCUGGUCAUUUCUCCAAAAGACAACCAUGAAGCGCUAUCUAAACCUGAAGCAUGCAGUUGCUGCAUGUGUACAGUAACCUGAGGGGAGUGAGGUGACUGCUUCUGAGGAGAACAUGAGCAGUGAAGAUUCACCUUAGAGCCAGAACAGGGAUGUGCACAUGAUUAUAGAGGGGCAGGGGCUCAAGUCUUUUCCAGUCCUUUAUACAAAAUGGAAAUUAAUGUGAAAUUAAAAAACAAAGUAUUAAUAGAAAGGUAAUGACUGUCCUGUGUAGAUGACAGUGAUAUCCAAUAGGCUAGGCACUCACGAGGCUGACUGUGGCAAGUGUAAGUGAAAGCAACACGCACUGGCAGGAAGAACAGCAAACGCCGAUGAAGGAAAAGGGUCCUUGCAGUGAUGGGCGUUACCAGAGAGGGCGAUGGCCAGAGGACGCGAAUGGGACGGGGAGGCAGCGCGUUGGGGGGGGUGGGGGGGGGCGUGACACGGCUCGGGCCCGCCAGUGCCCCAACUGGGCCCUAGUUAUUAGGGCCCGAGCCAGCUGCAGAGCAGCCGGGCGUAGAGCCCUAUUAUUCCUGUAUAGGUUUUUCUUUCUUCUUUCUUUCUUUCUUUCUUUCUUCUUAUUUUUCCUCCCCUUUGAAGGGGAAAAUGGCCCACUUCCCACUGGCGAAAACUCAGGAAAUUUGGCAGGACGACCGGGCCUGGUGAAAAAUUCGAUAUUCUGAA